rnacentral:rRNA from 1 species
CCUACGGGUGGCAGCAGUGGGGAAUAUUGCACAAUGGGGGAAACCCUGAUGCAGCGACGCCGCGUGAGUGAAGAAGUAUUUCGGUACGUAAAGCUCUAUCAGCAGGGAAGAAAAUGACGGUACCUGACUAAGAAGCCCCGGCUAACUACGUGACAGCAGCCGCGGUAAUACGUAGGGGUCAAGCGUUAUCCGGAUUUACUGGGUGUAAAGGGAGCGUAGACGGCAGCGCAAGUCUGGAGUGAAAUCCCAUGGCUUAACCAUGGAACUGCUUUGGAAACUGUGCAGCUAGAGUGCAGGAGAGGUAAGCGGAAUUCCUAGUGUAGCGGUGACAUGCGUAGAUAUUAGGAGGAACACCAGUGGCGAAGGCGGCUUACUGGACUGUAACUGACGUUGAGGCUCGAAAGCGUGGGGAGCAAACAGGAUUAGAUACCCCUGUAGUC